GAUGAACGCUAGCGGCAGGCUUAAUACAUGCAAGUCGUGGGGCAGCGCAGGUAGCAAUACUGGGCGGCGACCGGCAAACGGGUGCGGAACACGUACACAACCUUCCGAGAAGUGGGGAAUAGCCCAGAGAAAUUUGGAUUAAUACCCCGUAACAUAACGAUGUGGCAUCACAUUGUUAUAUAGCUUCGGCGCUUCUUGAAUGGGGUGUGCGGCUGAUUAGAUAGUUGGCGGGGUAACGGCCCACCAAGUCUACGAUCAGUAGCUGAUGUGAGAGCAUGAUCAGCCACACGGGCACUGAGACACGGGCCCGAUCCUACGGGAGGCAGCAGUAAGGAAUAUUGGUCAAUGGACG
rnacentral:rRNA from 1 species